CAGAAAUCAGCUCUGUGACUGGCUCAAGGUACCAAGACCCACACCAGUGGCAAAGGGUCCUGCGCAGUAGAUCGGAGUGUCCGUCAGUGCAGUGGACUAUGGGUGUGUGUGACACUGCAUCACAUUGUCGUUUGUUGUCACUGCAUCACAUUGUUGUCGAGCAUUGUUGUCAGUGUCUCUAUGCAAGUCUGCCUGUCUAGUGGUUAGCUAUCCAUCAUCGCAUCAGAAUGUGUGAAUGUGGCUGUCCCCAUGUUGAGCCUCCAUGGCAUGUUUACAAAUAAAUCCAGAAAGAAAUUUGCA